rnacentral:lncRNA from 1 species
AGUGAGAAAGCUUGUCUGAGAUGGAUAUAAUAGAAAAACAACACAUGAGAUGGAGAAGCCUGUUCAAACAGAGUAAAUACUUGAAUCAUGACAAAACGCGAUUUGCCAACUUUUAGCUGUUAGGAAAGAUUAAACACACAGCUAUUUAUAGCUGCCACUUUUUCCUUGUGUUUACAGUAGGCCUAACUAUCAAUCUGAAGUUACUUCCUACAUGAGCUGAAAAGCACUUCUCUGACUUUACAAGCUGUACCACAACCUUGGAGCGCCCACAACAACUGCUCUUAUGGCUCCUAUAAAGAUUCUCUUGCAUUUUACCCUGCAUGCCAACAGAAAGUGCUCAUUCCAGUAAACACCAUAGGUAACAUUCUGAAAAUAUUUAUGAAAUAUUUCA